ACGGGGCCGCACAAGCAGCGGAGCAUGUGGUUAAUUCGAAGCAACGCGAAGAACCUUACCUAGACUUGACAUCUCCUGCAUUACCCUUAAUCGGGGAAGCCCUUCGGGGCAGGAAGACAGGUGUGCAUGGUUGUCGUCAGCUCGUGUCGUGAGAUGUUGGGUUAAGUCCCGCAACGAGCGCAACCCUUAUUUUAGUUGCUACCGUUCAGUUGAGCACUCUAAAGAGACUGCCCGGGUUAACCGGGAGGAAGGUGGGGAUGACGUCAAGUCCUCAUGGCCCUUACAUCCCGGGCUACACACGUGCUACAAUGGCAGGUACAGAGGGCUGCGAAGCCGCGAGGUGGAGCGAAUCCCAGAAAACCUGUCUCAGUCCGGAUUGAAGUCUGCAACUCGACUUCAUGAAGGCGGAAUCGCUAGUAACCGCGAAUCAGCAGGUCGCGGUGAAUACGUUCCCGGGCCUU
rnacentral:rRNA from 1 species